AUGAUGACGCCCCUUUAUGCUGCAAUGGGCCAAACUUCGCCACCAAUGCCAACCCCUUCUCGUCCACUUGCUCCACAGGCUCCACACACUCCUUAUCCAUCAGAGGGAUCGAAUACGCCUGGAGCUGGAGGUUCGCACAUUGGUACUCCACCUCACUUUGGUUAAGGUGGUAAUCAAGUGUGGAGUCUGUUACGGCCUGCAACAUUUUCUUUUUGUUUGGACUA